rnacentral:lncRNA from 10 species
ACGAAGUAGAAGGCCAUCAAUAUAUUGAAUAAGGUACUGCAUUUUUUACAAAUUGGAGGUUUGUGGCAACCCUGCAUAAAUCAAAUCUAUCAGCACCAUUUUUCCAACAACAUAUGCUCACUUCUCAUCUGUGUCAGCAUUUUUUAGCAAUAUUUUAAAAUUAAGAUACUGCCAUCUUUUGCAAAUUGAAGGUUUGCGGAAACCCUGCAUGGAGGAAGUGUAUCGGCGCCAUUUUUCCAACAGCAUGCGCUCACUUUGUGUCUUUUUUCACAUUCCCCUAAAGAGGGAAACAGCACAGGACUGGGCAGUGCAAUGCUUCCAUAGUGCACCUCAUUGCAUGGACGUUCCCCUGAGGCUGGUGGGCAAGCCAGCGCCAAGCAACCCACUCUGUGAUCAGCCCACUCCCCAUGGGAGUCUUGUCCCUUGGUGGCAAGUGUUUCCAUAGUACUACAGAAUGGAUAGUUGUCCCCUUGAAAUCUCAUGUUGAAAUUUGAUCCCCCAGGUUGGAGGUGAGGCCUGGUAGGAGGCGUUUGAAAUCCAGGGGCAGAUCCCUCAUGAAUGGCUUGGUGCCAUUCUCUGAAAAGUGAGUUCUCACUCUUAGUUCCAGAGAGAACUGACUGUGAAAGAGCCCGGCACCUCCCUCCCUCUCUUUUCCUUUCUCUCUCCUGCUCCCCUUCACUUUCUGCCAUGAGUGGAAGCUUUCUGGGGCCCUCACCAGAAGCAGAUGCCAGCAUAAUGCUUCUUGGACAGCCUGCAAAACUGUAAGCCGAAUAAACCUAUUUUCUGUAUAAAU